rnacentral:rRNA from 1 species
AUUGAACGCUGGCGGCAUGCCUAACACAUGCAAGUCGAACGGCAGCAUGGUCUAGCUUGCUAGACUGAUGGCGAGUGGCGAACGGGUGAGUAACGCGUAGGAAUAUACCUUAUAGAGGGGGAUAACCUGGGGAAACUCAGGCUAAUACCGCAUGUUAUCUAAGGAUUAAAGCUGGGGACCUUAGGGCCUGGCGCUAUAAGAAUAGCCUGCGUCCGAUUAGCUAGUUGGUGGGGUAAAGGCCUACCAAGGCGACGAUCGGUAGCUGGUCUGAGAGGAUGAUCAGCCACACUGGGACUGAGACACGGCCCAGACUCCUACGGGAGGCAGCAGUCGGGAAUAUUGGACAAUGGGGGAAACCCGUGAUCCAGCAAUAACCGCGUGUGUGAAGAAGGCCUGCGGGUUGUAAAGCACUUUCAGUUGGGAAGAUAAUGACGUUACCAACAGAAGAAGCACCGGCUAACUCCGUGCCAGCAGCCGCGGUAAUGUCGU